UGAGAGCGGCGGACGUGUGAGUAAUGCCUAGGAAUCUGCCUGGUAGUGGGGGAUAACGUUCGGAAACGGACGCUAAUACCGCAUACGUCCUACGGGAGAAAGCAGGGGACCUUCGGGCCUUGCGCUAUCAGAUGAGCCUAGGUCGGAUUAGCUAGUUGGUGGGGUAAUGGCUCACCAAGGCGACGAUCCGUAACUGGUCUGAGAGGAUGAUCAGUCACACUGGAACUGAGACACGGUCCAGACUCCUACGGGAGGCAGCAGUCGGGAAUAUUGGACAAUGGGCGCAAGCCUGAUCCAGCAAUGCCGCGUGAGUGAUGAAGGCCUUAGGGU
rnacentral:rRNA from 14 species